AUUGUAUUUAGAGCUUUUGUGCAUAAUGGAAAGAUGAAAUAGAUGUUCUUAUCAGUUUAAUAUCUGAUAUGUGGCCAAUACUCACACGAUAUUAAAUUUAUUUUUUGAGGGGGAGUGGCCCCACACAAUAGCUUGCUAUUGGGUCUCUCGAGAGUCGCCCAAGCGUUGCCUAAAGCUUGGGCCUGGCACACCCCCA